UGGAAAUUUUAGGGCAUUUUGUGUUAAAUGCCUAAUUUUGCCGAAAUGGGGAAUUUUAUUCCAUGAAUGGACCUUAGGUUAAAUUUUAUUAUGUGAUUAAUUAAAUUAAAUGUGAGAGACAUUUAAUUUAAUUAAUUAAUGUUAAGUUUGGUGAUUAAAACUUAAUAAGAGUGAAAAAAUGUGUCAAAAGUCAAUUUGGACUUUUCUUCUUAUAAACCUUUAUUAACCUUUAUAAAAAAAAUAAAAUAAAAUAAAAAAAAAUUAAUGGUCACAUAUAUGGAAAAUGGUGGCUGGCCAUGUGCUAUUUUAGAGUGGUGUGAACCCAAUUUUAUAAAAUUCAAAUCCCAUUUAAUUAAGAAGUCAAGUGGGCAAGUGGGUAGAAAAGCACUCAAGUGUUUUGUGAUAUUUUGAAGAGUUGUGUGAGCCAUUCUAACCCCCAAAUCCAACCACUCUCCCUCCCUCAUUCACUCUCAUCUGAUUUUUGAAGACUCUCUCAAGUGUUCUCUCCAUUUUCAACCCCAAGAACACCAAAGAAACUUGGAAGCUAAGUCUUGGUCUAGGAAGGGUUUUCCCUAAGUUGGUUAGGGUUUUUGAAAGGUUUUGAAGGAGUCAAAGCUUAUAGGAAGGUCCAAACCUUAAGCAAGAACACCAAAGAGGUAAGAGCACGGGCAAGGCAGAGCAGUGAGCGCUGGAGUCUUCCUUGCAAAUGUACAUGUGGACCGACCUUUUGGGAAGCCUUUUUAUUUUUGGAAAUGUUGUGUAAUUUUCCUAAACUAGGCUCACUCUAAUCUUUAUAAAACAUGUUUGUAACUAAAUGUUAAGUAUGGCCAUACGACUUUUUAAAAAGUUUUUUUUCUAUGGGUUUUUGAGACAUUUUGUUAAAUGAAAACAUUUAUAUUUCCGCA